CGCACGGGUGAGUAACACGUAUGGAACCUGCCCUAUGCAGGGGGAUAAGCGGAAGAAAUUCCGUCUAAUACCGCAUAACACCAUUUGGAGACAUCUCCAGGGGGUCAAAGGAGGCGACUCCGGCAUAGGAUGGCCAUGCGUCGCAUUAGCUAGUCGGCGGGGUAACGGCCCACCGAGGCGACGAUGCGUAGGGGUUCUGAGAGGAAGGUCCCCCACACUGGUACUGAGACACGGACCAGACUCCUACGGGAGGCAGCAG
rnacentral:rRNA from 1 species